rnacentral:tRNA from 1 species
GGAGGCAUAGCUCAGCUGGGAGAGCGUUCGCUUCACACGCGAGAGGUCACAGGUUCGAGCCCUGCUGUCUCCA